UACGUAGGUGGCGAGCGUUGUCCGGAUUUACUGGGCGUAAAGAGCGCGCAGGCGGUCGAUUUAGUCGUGUGUGAAAGCCCCCGGCUCAACUGGGGAGGGUCACGCGAUACUGAUCGACUCGAAGGCAGGAGAGGGUAGUGGAAUUCCCGGUGUAGUGGUGAAACGCGUAGAUAUCGGGAGGAACACCAGUGGCGAAGGCGACUACCUGGCCUGUUCUUGACGCUGAGGCGCGAAAGCUAGGGGAGCAAACGGG
rnacentral:rRNA from 1 species